rnacentral:tmRNA from 1 species
GGGGGCGAAACGGCUUCGACGGGGGUAUAGAAGUAUAGGUUGCAUACCGAGCGCCUGCCAGCUCGUAAAAACGGUGGGACCUAAAAUAAUCGCAGACGAUUAUAAUUACGCCUUAGCCGCUUAAAGCAGGCUAACGUCCUUCCGGGUUUUUCCUGCGAGUCCGGAAAGGGCGUCGACUAGCAGGAUAGCCUCUAUUGGUUGCUUGUUACGAAUGAGGUGAAAUUCAUAACAAGAUAGCCCUUUAAGCAUCCUGCCUGAAGGAGCCUUA